ACAAAGAAGAAAGAGCGUGUGUGAAAUAAAGAUACGGAGAGAAAAAAACGGAACGUGAUAAGAGAGAAAAAGAAAGAUAUAAAAAAGAGAGAAUGGACAAAUAAUGACCAAGAAAAGGAGGAAAAAUAACAAGGGAGAAUUAAAGAGAGAAAGAGAGAGAGAGAGAGAGAGAGAGAGAGAGAGAGAGAAAGAGAGGCCAUAUAUGGAAAACAAUUAAGCUUAACUAAUGCCUGUGUGUGUGUGUGUGUGUGUGUGUGUGUGUGUGUGUGUGUGUGUGUGUGUGUGUGUGUCAGCUGGUUUAUAUAUAACUGGGAACUAUUGUAGUGCUAAUGUUAGACUGAGUACACCAGAUAGUGAAUGUUUAACGCACACUGAGACUGGCAGGAACUAUGUACGCAUGUGGGUGUGUAAGAGAGAGAGAGAGAGAGAGAGAGAGAGAGAGAGCGUGUACGUGGUUGCAUGUGUGUAUGUGUAUGUAGCGGGGAGAAAGAGAAUGUGUUAGUGACUACAUGUGUGUGUGUGUACUAAUGAGUGGUUGGUUAGUGAACAUGUGUGCCUGUAUGUGUGUGUGUGCGUGAAGGUGUAUAUAUGUACAGUAUGUGCUAUUUAAUACAGUUCUAAAAAAGAUAAAAUGAAUCCCUCCCAAACUAUAAAAAAAAAAAAUUCUCUCCUAGCUCAUUAAAUAUAUAACAUCGUUUAAAUUCCUUUCAUCAAAUUUCUUUACCGAAAAAAUAAUUCUCUUUGUAUAUUAAGGAAACAAAAUCCACUAAACUCACUUAAACAUUAAAGUCUGUUCAACAUAUUUGCCUCAACAUUUAAAGACUUGAAUCUCCAACUUAGAUGCAAAUGCGGGGGUGUUAGGAUGUGAUACAAUAUGUAAUAUGCCACCUUAGCCUAAUUAGCGCUGCCACGUAACUCCACUCUGCUCUUAAGGUACAGUAAUAUAAACAAGAAACCUUCCUAAACAUUUCGUCUGUCGCUGUUAACUAAAAGGCUCAUUGUAGUGUGUUUUUUGUUGGUAUAUUUUGUUUUUUUAUCUUUGUGUGUGUGUGUGUGUGUGUGUGUGUGUGUGUGUGUGUGUGUGUGUGCUGUGGGAGAGAGUUUUUGGCGAGCAGAUUGUUUGGAGUGUGUGUGUGUGUAUGUGUGUGUGAUGUGUGGAUGAUGUGUUGGGUAGAAUGUGUGGAUGGAAUGGUGAGUAUGGUUGAGGACGGACUGAAAAACCUUAAGGAACCCCCCCCCCCCAAAGUCCCUUUAAGAUGCUAAAACACCAGAACUUAUGAGUCUCAGAAAGUCAUCACUUAUAACUGAACCAAGGAAAACAGUCUUCCGUUCUCAGAUACUACUAAAACUACCUUAACCUAAACAGUCCAUAGUUAUAAUAAUUACCACUCCUAAUAAGACCUAAUCCUAAUGACCACCACUUCCUAAUAGACACCAAGCUUAAUUUAAUAGACUCCAACCUAUUCUCUUACUAAUGGGCCCUUUUCACAAUAGGCCCCAGUUUUAAUAGGCCAUAAUCUUAAUGACACCCAAUAUUAAUGGGUUCCAGUCCUAAUUGGUCAGGUUAGGUUAGGUUUCCCAGUCUGGUGUAUCACAAGGUGGCGUGUGUCUCCCGUAGAGUUUCUUGUUCCUUGUGUCUUAAACCAAUCUGCCUUCAACCUCUUCCUCUCUCUCUUAUUUCCUUUGUAUAUCCAUUUGUCUUUCUCUAUUUUCCUUUGUUAUUUCCUAUCACUCUCUAUGUACAUUCCUUCCUAUAUCAAUUUGUCAGUUUCAUCUGUUUGUUUGCUUCAUAAAAUAACCCGGUGCGAACGAAAGCCUAUGUGGGUUCUUUAAUCACCAAAUAUAUUGCGAAAUUAAUUAUUUAUUCUUCCUAUUUCUUGUGAUACUAAAAUACAACCCAAUUACCCUAUUUCUACCUAUUUUGGGUUAAUUUUAAAGUAAUAAAUGGUUAAUCACUAUUAUUUUGGAUGGUUUAUUUUGAUUAUGAAUUUCUCAGUUAAUUCUUUGUUCUGCGUAUGUGAUUGCUCCUGCUUCUCUCUCCUCGUCUUUUCUCUUCUCUCCCUGUGUUUAGAUGACAAGCCGUUUUCUUUGCGUCUUGCUGGCUGGUAAGAGAACAAGUCAUACCAUCUUUGCCUCAGUCACUUUUUCCCCCCUUUAAUGAGAUAUUAUAUUGAGGAAAAAUAAAUUCCAGCAUUACAAUUGUCACUAACCUUUAUACACACUUAUUUAAUCCAAGACGAAUUUAUACUUACUUAACUCAUUCUAAAAUACCUUAAUCCUAAGUAACUUCCCUCUAUUAACUUUUGUAGAUGUAAUUAAGUUUCUAUUUAAAGGACAAAAAUUACAAGUCACUGGACCAGAUGUGAACAUAUAUUUCAAUCAUUUCAUUUCCCCUUCAUCACUGUAUAAUAAUUACAUCAGUUUGCUAUGUAAUUUCGUUUCGUCACGGCUGUAAUUUAAUUAUUGUAUUUGCUAAUUUAAUAACAACACUUCCACCUUGACAUUUACUAUAGAUGGAUAUGUAAUUAUUUCAUUUAUUAUAUAUCUUAUUACUAUUAUGGUCUAGAUGGAUUAUUUUUAUAUAAACAUGAUGUUCGGUUUACAUUAUUUUUUUUUAUAUUUGAUAAUUGAUAUUUUUGUGCAGGUAUAGUUCCUUCAGUAUAAUAUCAUAAAUCUCAAAAUAUAAUGAUGAUAUGUACUCAACGUGGCUAAAGUCAUCGUCUUUAAGGGAUGAUUGACGAUAUAUAAUUCACGACUGCUGCUAAACCUUUGCUUCAGAAAUAGACAAAAUGGCCGACACUGUACUCGAUCGUCUUCAAUUCCUCACCUGUAGAGUUAGGUACCCAUUAAUACCUGUAGGUACUCGGGCGCUAAUUAGCACCCCUCAGUACCUUAAUAUUUAAUUCUUGAAAAAAUAUAAUCAUAUUUUUUUAAUAUAUGGAGUAGCAACAACGUGAAGAAAGUAGCAGGGUGAAACUAUAGGAGGAAGAUGUACUCCAAGUAACAGGUGAGGAAAGGGGAAGGGGGGAAUGGCACGUGACCCCCCCCCCCCCCAGGUAGGUGCGUCCGUCACUGUCAGGCAGCAACACGUGAAUCAUGCAUCAUCUCUCUCUCUCUCUCUCCUGAACACCUAAUUUGAUAUCUUGUGAACACCUGUAUUUGUUAAUUAAUGGUGAAUACUGGGUUUAUGUUUUAGUACUUUUGCGUUUUGAUCUUUUCUUUAACGUUUUAUUUACAAUAUUACAUGGUUUGUAUUGAGAGGAACAGUGGUGAACGUUUUUCUUGAUCGCUGAGAUUCCAUUGUACACACACACACACACACACACACAUUGUCGUCGACCAACACACCACCUCGUCUUGACCCACUCCGUCACCCUCGCUCAGCAGUUUAAGCUCCUGAUUUAGCUACGAUACAACCCAACAUUACACCCCAUUGAGAACAAGUCCAGCCGUUCACUAUAAUGAGGAGCAACAGCAAACAUGAUCUAAAUAAGAUGUUAUAAGCAACUAUACUUCACAACAACAAAAAAACUGGGCGAAAAAAAAUGUUAGUUGAAUUUAGUCUUUCUGCGCUGCCGUAAGUUUUACCAGUGAAACAGAAAAACGAGACGCGGGUCAUCCUUCAUUUAUUUAAUAUUAGUGUUUCAUUGAGACUGAAUAGCUCUCUCUCUCUCUCUCUAUCUCUCUUGGUCGCACAUGAGUGAGUUUAUACCAGGUGUGUAAUAAGGAUACAUGCUAUAAAGACCUGAUAGGACGGGUCGGACAGGUAAGAAUAUGCUCUCCCGUGUGCUUUGAUAUACGGCUCUCGGGAAGCCAAACCACACUGGUGACAAGAUAAAAAUUUAUUGCCUUAUUGCCUAUAAAUCCAGAUGGUGAAGCAUCCGGGAGUUACCACCUGCAGGAGCCUCCAUGAUACGAGUUUCUUCAACCACUCAAGAAGGUAAAAACCAGAUUACACUUUUACGGUAGAUAAUGUGGCUCUUGAAGACGUUUACUCAGGAGGAGAUAAUAUGCUAAGUGAGUUAUCUCGUGAAACUAUGAUAUUUUAUUAUAAUUUAUUGUUUUACAUUAUUCUAACUAGUAUAAUUAAGUAAUUGUACAAAUGCCUUGAAGUAAAGGUUUCUCAUUUUAAUUGUAUUUUUUUCCUUUUAAAAUACUGGGUCGACCAUCGGUUCACCGCUGGAUCUCUGGCGCGACCUAGGCGGAGAGAGACACAGGAAAUGCUUGUGUCCGCCCGACUCUCCCUGCAUCCAUCCGUCCGUCUGUCCGUCCGUGCAACCAGGAUUAAGUGAACACAACUAACAACUAAGAGUGAUGGUCUGACAAGGGGUGAUAAAGUGAUACAUCAUAACAAGGAACUAUGACAAGGUCCUGUCUGGAGGGUCUUUGUCAACGUAGGACUAAGGAAAAGCUUCACCUGAACCACUCUUGAAGGAUUAGAAACCAGAGACAGCAGCCACAAAGAUUCGUCACUGCCCGCACCCUGCUGGGGGGACGCCUACAAUACUCUUCCUGCUACUGCUGGGGACGUUCUUGUUGUUGGUUAUACUGCUGCUACAGGCUAGAGACACUACUGUUGUUUUUGUUACUAGUGAAGUCGCUGUUGCUGUGAGAGGCUGGAUAUGUUUCCCUCUGGCAAGACAAGUAAGGACCUGCACAGACACACAGACUAUGACUUAACGAUAUAUCUGCCUUCUCCUAAAGCCAGGCACCAAUACGAAGGAUGAUGACUUGAAGAUGGAGGAUGCAAGAAAUGAUAGUUUUCUUCUGGUGAACUCUUCCUGCACUGCACCAAAAAACGUCAGGUUCUGGACCUUGUCAAGGAGAGGUGUGCACUCUGCUGUACCACACAUCUUGUACUGCUGUACCAGGAUGGCAAGUGAUUCACAACACAACUAAAGGACGCAGGUGCCAAGAUACAGCCCAGACCCAACCUUCCACCCCUCCUCUCUACCUCAGAUCGAGGGUGGGCUUAAUUGAAACCCACCGGUCGCUCGGAGCC